rnacentral:lncRNA from 1 species
UAUUGCCAAAAAAAAAAAUAAAUAAAAUUAAGUUAGAAGCACUUAAAAGAAUUUCAAGUUUAAAAAGCAAGUAAAAGACUGUUUAUUGCAAGUUGCUUGGAGUUUGUAAUACACGUAACAAAAACAGGAUAGAUUUUGCACUGUCUGAUAUUGGAAGAGUGUAGUAAAAUAUAUGUAUGUGUAUAGAAUGGUUUUCAUUGAAGUGAUAGACAAAUAAUUGACCAAAUUUCAAGAUCUCAAUCAAAUUGUCUUUAUAUUGACAUUAACAUCUUUUGGUUCAUACAGAAAUCUAAAAAGAUGAUCUUUUCCUUCCUACCUUAUGAGUCACGUGUUUUAUUACGGAAGUAGAUAUGAAUAUUGGGAUAACCAUGGUUAUUUCCAUCCUUUAAGCUCUUUGCUUUGGGUUUCACACACCUGACAGAGAAAAUGAGAGGGGACAAUUCAAGCAGGUGGCUCAUGUUAACCAUUAAUCUUUCCUGAGUAAGAAGCGGGAGGGUCUUGGGCUCUUAAAAAGCAACAUAGGCCUUAGUUUAGAACAUUCAUGAGAAGCAGGAGAGAAGGAAAAAGAUGAAGGUGGUGUAUUUUAAAGAAAAAGCUGUACUUGGUAAAAAGCAAAACCAACCAACCAAAAAGAUUAAUAUUAUGGGGCAGAAGUCCAGCUUAACAAGAGCUAUGUGUAGUCUGAGUUUUUUCUUCAUAGAAGGUAACACUUCAAUUCAUCAGACUAGUUUGUUUUGUGCUGUUUUCCUGAAUUCUUCUGUAUGGUGUGAGUUCUUGAAGAUGUUCUUUGUUCAUCUCGAACAGGGGUUCACAAGCCAGUGGGAUGACAUGAAAUGA